GGAGACUGCCGGUGACAAACCGGAGGAAGGUGGGGAUGACGUCAAGUCCUCAUGGCCCCUAUGGGUAGGGCUUCACACGUCAUACAAUGGUCGGUACAGAGGGUUGCCAACCCGCGAGGGGGAGCUAAUCCCACAAAGCCGAUCGUAGUCCGGAUCGCAGUCUGCAACUCGACUGCGUGAAGUCGGAAUCGCUAGUAAUCGUGGAUCAGCAUGUCACGGUGAAUACGUUCCCGGGUCUU
rnacentral:rRNA from 1 species